rnacentral:rRNA from 1 species
GGGGGAUAACACCUGGAAACAGGUGCUAAGACCGCAUAAGCGCACGGUCCCGCAUGGGACAGUGUGAAAAACUCCGGUGGUACAAGAUGGAUCCGCGUCUGAUUAGCCAGUUGGCGGGGUAACGGCCCACCAAAGCGACGAUCAGUAGCCGGCCUGAGAGGGUGAACGGCCACAUUGGGACUGAGACACGGCCCAAACUCCUACGGGAGGCAGCAGUGGGGAAUAUUGCACAAUGGGGGAAACCCUGAUGCAGCAACGCCGCGUGAGUGAAGAAGUAAUUCGUUAUGUAAAGCUCUAUCAGCAGGGAAGAAAAUGACGGUACCUGAGUAAGCAGCCCCGGCUAACUACGUGCCAGCAGCCGCGGUAAUACGUAGGGGGCAAGCGUUAUCCGGAUUUACUGGGUGUAAAGGGAGCGUAGACGGUAAAGCAAGUCUGAAGUGAAAUGCCAGUGCUCAACACUGGAACUGCUUUGGAAACUGUUUGGCUGGAGUGCAGGAGAGGUAAGUGGAAUUCCUAGUGUAGCGGUGAAAUGCGUAGAUAUUAGGAGGAACACCAGUGGCGAAGGCGGCUUACUGGACUGUAACUGACGUUGAGGCUCGAAAGCGUGGGGAGCAAACAGGAUUAGAUACCCUGGUAGUCCACGCGGUAAAC